AGUCACGCAAGGCAAUCGUUCAAUCACCCGUAAUAAAUUGCAACUUCUGAAGUAUCAUGAAAUGGUCAUGUGCAAAAAACGGCUUAGUCUGUCUAACAGUCUCAAGUGCGGUGGGUUCCUUGCAUUGAAAGAAACAACAUAUUCUCUGAUAGGGCAGGGCUUUUUUCAACUUCUUCCAUAAUGUGUGUCUUAUUUUAUGGGAAAAUUGCCUCAUCCCUUCCCUUCACAACCAUGUGGACCCUCUACUACUCUCUGGUAAUGAAAUCUGCACUUUACAAACACUAUACGAAUUACCUCAAUAGAAAAAUUCUGAUAGCAAAAAUAAUAUUAUUUUAACCUUAUUUAUUAUGAUUUUGCAGCUAAGGAAAAUGUCCAGGAUUACUGUUCUAUUCAUCUCUCUGCAGACUAUCAGCAACAGCUUUGUAGGCAAAGCUGAGAACGAACAGUUAUAAUAAGUUGUAAUAACUAUUUGGACGCAUUUUCAAGCAAAAUGAGAAAACAGUGCAGGCUCUGUUGGCUGAUGUCCUGUUAUUUGGAAAUGUUUCAGUUGUUUAAAUAAGCAUAGUUUAGGGAAAAAAAAAAGUUAAUUGCAUUCCAGGUGACCUUGCAGUUCUUUCUUGGCAUGUGGCAUUCUGUGGCUAAAUGAAGAGGUGAAAAUAUCUUUCUAUACCAAGUUAAUUCUAGUGAGCUAAAUGGUCAUAGAACAAUUUGUUAAUAUUGGGAACGUUUCAUUUGGAAGGUGUCCUAGUGUCUUGGAAUAAUCUUCCUAGAAAAUAAAGGGGUUUGCCUUGUGUGGUGGAAUAUUAAGGAAAAUACUAUAAACAUUUUAACUGAAGACACCUCAGAAUUCAACCCUCUGGGGAAGAUAUUGAUCUUUAUACAAAGCUGCAAAAUAUUUGUAAAUUCACUGGUGGGGAAAGCACAUUUCACUAAGCUGGAAUAUUUUCUUCAGAAUAUGCCUUUUUCAGUUAAAUUUUUGUUCAGAAAGAGUUAAAAUAUUUUCCUUUGAUGAUAUGGAAUUAAAGCAGCUUGACAAGACCAAUGUUUUACUUCGAUUUUAUAAUUUUGGUUUUGUAUUUAUUUUAGAUGAUAUAUUAGAUUAACCUUCUAUAUUAUUUCAACAUCAUUCAAAUGAGUUCUUUUGAUGUUUCCCAUUCAACAUUUUUUAAAACAUCUUUCCCAUUAGAAAUUCUGACUUUUUGUUCCUAUUCAUUAUUGAAAACACACUUUUCUUACCAGUCUGUUUCUAGCGUGUUAUCUACAUUUAGCAUCUUUAACUCAUCUUUGUGCGGAAGGUGGUGCCAGGGGCUCUGACCAUGGCUGGGUACAAGGCAGUGGGUGAAGUCAGGAGAAGGAAGCAGUGGAUGUGUGCAGAGGCAGCUCUGUAGGAAGUCUCACUGUAUCUGUGGUGUUUUCCCUAUGAGCUCCAAGUCUUUCAUGUGUGUAAAUAAGGUUAUUAUUUGCAUCUUAAACCUUUUGGUCCUCUUUGGGGAGCAUGAUGUAGAUGAUGGUUUAGGAACAUCUACCUGCAAGCCUUUCCUGGGGGUCCUGGUACACAAACGAUUAGGUUUCUGCUGGUCUUUGAAUCUAAUUCAGCUCAUCUUGUACACAGAAACCCAGAAUUUGGGUGAUGAAAGUGGGACCCAUAAGACGGGGGCAGCAGUCCAUUUUGGAUGUGACUGAAACUGUCUGUUCUAGAGCUGGACUCCAACUGAAUGAGAGGGUUUUACUCCAGCCUCUGCCUGAGCAUAGGUUAGUUAUAGGCUUUUUGUAUCAUCCUAAACAGAAGGAUAUUGAAGGGAGCUGAUUCUGCUUUGAUCCUUGUGCUUGUUGUCAGAGCGCUUGGGAUUGAAGAGACUGUUGGCUACAAUUGACUGUGACAAUUAGGAGAUGAUCAGAGCCCUAGAGUGGAGCACUUAAAGGGUAAUUUACAUGUCAGUUUGUCGAAUAAAAAAAAGAUAUUCAGCUAAGAUUCCCCCCCCCCAGAGCCUUGUAAACUGCAAUUUGUGCUAUAGUAAGGAAAACCUGGCAGAGGAGUUAGGAUAGCCAUUUCCAUUUGAAAAGAGGCAAUCAUAAGGCCACUGCUGAGCCUAUUGUCCACUAAAAAUGCUGAUUUGCAGUCAGGGAGUGAAAGAGUGGAGACAUCACUAAACAGAACCUUGUGCAAGGUAACUCCCCCUUGGUGGCUUUCUAACGCUGGCUGAAGGUUUUAUAUACCUUAAAUCCUGCAUUUGCUAUCAUUAAACAUUGUUACUGAUCAUGAAUGUCCUUUAUAAUAACAAAAAAAUGAAGACAUUGAGGGGGAGGUGGGUGGAACAGAAGCCACCAGCCAGUUGAUAGGCUCACGCCAGCUAUCUAUUGUACCACAUCUUUCUUAUUCUUGUGCCUUUUGUACGCCAACAUAAUUUUCUUGUCACCCUUCGCACUUUGCCAUUUAGGCACCUUCCGUAAUAGUUUUCUCAUAGGUUUUCCAUACCUAUUUACACUUGUUUUUAGACACACAUCGAGUAGAUUUUUUUUUUUUAUAUUUUUUUUCCUUGUUUAACCUCCUGGGAAAGGAAAAGAGAGAAGGAGGUGACAGUAGCCAUUCAGUUCAGAGUUUGUCUAUCUGUAACUGUGGUGUGAUUAGGCUGUAAUAAAGAGUUUAUACACACAGGCCUCAGAGAGGGCUGAAGUUAAGACAGCUGAGUAUUAAAUAACCUUGCUUGUGAUAAGUCCUUUUUUAUAUGAUAGCUCUGAUAAACCUAAAGUUGCUUUGACAGUAGGGUUAUAUGAACUUAUAAAAAUAUCAAGAAAAAACACCUCCCUCAUUACUCUGCUUGGUGUGAGCUGUAGCAUAUGUGAUAUUCCUAACAGUUUAAAGAAGGGAUAUUAGUGGAUGCAUAUGUGGUUCCAGUGUUUGUAUAUGCAAAUAAGUGUAUUUAUUUUGAGGUUGCAUCAUAGGCUUUUCUUCCAGAGAUGGCACUGACUCCUGUCUCAUUUUCCCAAGAGAAGAAAUGGUCAUGUAUUCCAGUUUAGGAAUCAGAAUUAAAGGCUUUGCUUUGUCACAAUUAUGACCAAGUAGUAUUUGCUGCCCAGACAUGUACUGCCUAAAAAUCCAGGGGCCACUUUUCUGGGGAAGUUUUGUGGCUUUCAGUAAAAGCCAGGCAUAUACACAGCAUCUCUGAUUCUCAUCCCAGUGGCAGAUGCUGGUCAAACACCACUGACUUGAGCAGAUUUGGAAUUUCUAUUGGUGCCAGUAGGAUAAGGAUUAGGCCCUGUGUGUCCAUAGGGUCACCAAAAUG